CCUUUUGUAUAAUGGGUCAGCGACUUAUAUUCUGUAGCAAGGUUAACCGAAUAGGGGAGCCGAAGGGAAACCGAGUCUUAACUGGGCGUUAAGUUGCAGGGUAUAGACCCGAAACCCGGUGAUCUAGCCAUGGGCAGGUUGAAGGUUGGGUAACACUAACUGGAGGACCGAACCGACUAAUGUUGAAAAAUUAGCGGAUGACUUGUGGCUGGGGGUGAAAGGCCAAUCAAACCGGGAGAUAGCUGGUUCUCCCCGAAAGCUAUUUAGGUAGCGCCUCGUGAAUUCAUCUCCGGGGGUAGAGCACUGUUUCGGCAAGGGGGUCAUCCCGACUUACCAACCCGAUGCAAACUGCGAAUACCGGAGAAUGUUAUCACGGGAGACACACGGCGGGUGCUAACGUCCGUCGUGAAGAGGGAAACAACCCAGACCGCCAGCUAAGGUCCCAAAGUCAUGGUUAAGUGGGAAACGAUGUGGGAAGGCCCAGACAGCCAGGAUGUUGGCUUAGAAGCAGCCAUCAUUUAAAGAAAGCGUAAUAGCUCACUGGUCGAGUCGGCCUGCGCGGAAGAUGUAACGGGGCUAAACCAUGC
rnacentral:rRNA from 1 species